GCAGAAUACUAACGAAAAUUAAAAAGAUGGGUGAAACUGCUAACUGGCUCUUCACAGUCCUGUCUACUAAGGUGCAGCUUAAAAGGUUAAAUGUACCAGACUUCUAAGGACUACCUCCCUAGACCGGCUGCGACUUAAGAACGUCCUACGGCUAUGGAGUUGGCAGGUGUUGCAGUGGGGUUUCCGUCGUCCGUAUUCUGUCCAGGUCCGGGUAAUUCAGGUCAGUUUGCAAAAAUUUUAAAUAUCUUUUAAAUAAUUAUUUAUAUAUAUUUAUUUUUUUUUACAUAUAUAUACGUAUAAAAAUACUGAGCUACUGGGUGCAAAUCUGCCGCAAAUUCUUCUAAAAAACUAGGCCUGAGCUCAACCCUAACGUCGCGCACGCUUGGCGGUAAUUUUUGGCCAGCGGUCUGGUCCGAUUCUAACCAAUGGUACUGUCAGUCCGUCUUGUCGUUCAGGGUCAAAAAUCUUUAUGGUCGAAACCUUUGGUAUACCUGCGCACCCCAGGAUUGGCAGUGCGGAGCCGAUGUUCCCAAAUGAAAGAUCCCACGUUGGAAGUCGGCAGAGGUGGCGUUGAAAUAUUUGUAUAACCUUUUUUUUUUUGGUGUUCAAUUUAUAUAAUUUAUAUUAUAUUGUUUGAUUUAAAUAAAGACUUUAAAAAUG